AUACUUUUGCCAGAGCAAGGCCCCAGCCAACCUGAAAUAGUCACUGAAAUCCUAGGUGAGAACCUAACUUUGGAUGAAGAAUAUCUGCAUGGCCAUGUCAGACAGUACAUAGAAAACAAACUUGAAGUUUUCAAACGUUUUUAAUGGAAGAAAGAGCUACUGUCUACCACUUGCUUUCCAUUUUCUGUUACUAGGAAUCACAGGUACCACUGUUCUAAACAUCAGUCAUCUCCCUAUGGACCCUUCAACAGUAUCACAGACACAAAUGUGGUUCUUGCUGAUAUAAAUGUUUGAUUCCUCUUGGAUUGUCCAGAGAAACAUUUCAGCUAGGUCAAUGCCUCUAAAGAAUAGAAAGAUGAUGUUUUGCCUUUUGCAGAAAGGGCGGUUGCCAUCACUCAUCUGGGAAGAGCGCUAAAAACACUGGACCAGAGAAGAAUUUGAGAGUCAAGCCCUUAGGAGUAGUGUUGCCAGAUAACGACAUUUAAUACAAAUAUUUUUAUUUAUAAACGUGGCAAUCCUAAUUAUGAGCCUUUCAUUAUCACUCAGUGGCUUCUUCCAGGAGAAUCUGAACAAAAAAAAAUCUCUCCAUAAGCAUGAAGGCACAUAAUGAUAAUCAAUAGACAGAGGCUCUUUUCAGUCCUUCCAGAUUAAAACACCAGAAUAUGGAAAGAACCAACUACAAAAGAAUACUUUCCAUUUUUUCUUGUAAUUGGUAUCACAUUCUGCAUUUUCCCUAAAUCCUCUAAAUCUCCUUUUGAGAUGGGUAAUUAAGCACAGAAACUAUUUUCUGUGAAUUAUGUAUGUACAUAUUUAUAUAUCGUGAGCAUAUAAAAGUGAGGCUUAAUAACAACUGACGUUAUUAGAAUAUACAUGAAAGUAAAGUAAAGGGAAAAUCAGUUUUGUUUUCUUAGAUUUUAAACCAGUCAGUCUCAAUUCUAGCUAUAAAUUGAAAUUAUUUGGGAUUAAAACAAAACAAAAUAAACAAAACAAAUAGCUGAAUCUCAGCCCCAUAAUAUGGGUACCUAUGCCCGUCAUUAGUGGAGUCAGAAUUAGAAUCCAAUGUUCAUUUAACCUCCUGACUUACGAUGGAGAAAAUAUUGGAGUAAGAGUUUUGGAUAAAGAGUUAAUCUUGGUCAAGUCUUAAUCUCGACCUUGGAUUAAAUCCCAGAUCAGCCAUUUUCUAUAUGUACAUCUAUACAGUCAUUUAACUUCUCUAAGUAUGAGUUAGAAUCUGAGGGAAAUACAGUUCUCUAAGAAUGAGUUCAAAUCUGAGAGAAAUACACUAUGUCCAAGUAACCUAAAAAAUCCAUGCAUAAAUAUAGAUAGGCAUUUUAGGUAUUGAAAAGCUAUAAAAUUCCCUGGUCCCACUCGUUUCACUGAAAUUGACAA